CCCUUAGAUGUUCUGGGCCGCACGCGCGCUACACUGAUGCACUCAACGAGUCUCUACCUUGACCGAAAGGUCCGGGAAACCUUCGAACUUGCAUCGUGAUGGGGAUAGAUUAUUGCAACUAUUAAUCUUCAACGAGGAAUACCUAGUAGGCGCAUGUCAUCAGCGUGCGUCGAUUACGUCCCUGCCCUUUGUACACACCGCCCGUCGCUCCUACCGAUUGAAUGAUCCGGUGAGCUUUUUGGACUGUGGUCACGGCAUUGGUUCGCCAAUCUGAGAUCGCGGGAAGAUGCGCAAACCUUAUCAUUUAGAGGAAGGAGAAGUCGUANCA
rnacentral:rRNA from 1 species